AUUGAACGCUGGCGGCAGGCCUAACACAUGCAAGUCGAACGAGUGGCGGACGGGUGAGUAAUGUAUGGGGAACUGCCUGAUGGAGGGGGAUAACUACUGGAACCGGUAGCUAAUACCGCAUACCCUCAGAUGUACCCAUAUGGGAUUAGCUAGUAGGUGGGGUAACGGCUCACCUAGGCCACGAUCCCUAGCUGGUCUGAGAGGAUGAUCAGCCACACUGGGACUGAGACACGGCCCAGACUCCUACGGGAGGCAGCAGUGGGGAAUAUUGCACAAGGGGCGCAAGCCUGAUGCAGCCAUGCCGCGUGUAUGAAGAAGGCCUUCGGGUUGUAAAGUACUUUCAGCCGGGAGGCGUUACCGACAGAAGAAGCACCGGCUAACUCCGUGCCAGCAGCCGCGGUAAUUC
rnacentral:rRNA from 1 species